CAAGUCCUUUCUGAUCGUCAUUGAUCUCUCACUGGCAUCUUCACUGAUCGUCGAUCUCUCUCUCCGGCGUCGCAGGUACGCACGAUUUCUUCCUGAUCGACCUUUCUGUUUGGUUGUCACACGAUUUGGAUCACACACAGGCACAGAGUUCGGUUUAGAUCAAGUUUUGGGUUUCGAUCUCUCUGAACCUCAAAUCCCCUCUCUCUAUUUAAGGGUUUCGACAUUUCGCUGGGAAGAUUUCGAAUAUUCUGGAUUCGGCUUCGUAGGUAUAUUCGUCCGUGUAUACAAUAUAGACGCAAGCUAUGCUCUAGGGUUUUCAAUUGGGCAGAUCGGGGUUUCAAAUAUUUGGGGAAGGUUUCUUAAGCUUCAAUUUCAUGGCGCACCAAUUGCUUUUCCUGUAAGUGAUUUCGAUUCUCUGAUUUCUAUGUAAGGUUUUCAAUUUUUCGUUAACUUUAUUGUGUAUUGGGUCUUAUAUUUUGUUGCGUUUUAUAUGAGUUUGCAAACUGAUGCGAGUGAUUGAGAGAAUUUGAUUUACAAAAUUGGUAACUAUGAUUUUACCUUCUUUAGUGUAUUACUCUCUUUUGUUUCAGCUUGAUUUCUCUAAAUUUCUCAGUUCCCUCAUAGACCUAGGCUGACCCACAGUGGCAGAGUUGAAGAUUUGAUAGGCUUGAUUUCAUUUUGGAGUCUUCUCAAGAAUCCUUGGGUUAGCAAAUUCAGAAUCAUAAUUGGGUCAAAUUUGGCUCUUCUAUAAUUAGGAUAGGAUCAUCAAACUCUCAAGGAUGUCCUGCCCAAGAUUAAAGCUCCAAGGAUGUUGCAGUCUAUAUUCGCUGCAGUUGGUUAUCUUUACCUGUACAAGCUCUCUCAUGUACUCAUUGGUGGCCAUGCCGCGCAAUGUGCAGUAGCAUCCUUCUAGUUU